rnacentral:rRNA from 1 species
UGGCGAUAAAUCAUUCAAGUUUCUGACCUAUCAGCUUUCGACGGUAUGGUAUUGGCUUACCGUGGCAGUGACGGUUAACGGGGGAUUAGGGUUCGAUUCCGGAGAGGGAGCCUGAGAAACGGCUACCACAUCUAAGGAAGGCAGCAGGCGCGCAAAUUACCCAAUUCUAAUAGCAUAAGAGAGGUAGUGACAAGAAAUAACAGUACAAGGCAGUUAAAAUGCUUUGUAAUUGGAAUGAUAGAAAUUUAAAUACUUUUUAAAGUAUCAAUUGGAGGGCAAGUCUGGUGCCAGCAGCCGCGGUAAUUCCAGCUCCAAUAGCGUAUAUUAAAAUUGUUGCAGUUAAA